CCCUUAGAUGUCCUGGGCCGCACGCGCGCUACACUGAUGCAUGCAACGAGUUUAUAACCUUGGCCUGAAAGGUCUGGGUAAUCUUUUGAACGUGCAUCGUGAUAGGGAUAGAUUAUUGCAAUUGUUAAUCUUGAACGAGGAAUUCCUAGUAAACGCGAUUCAUCAGCUCGCAUUGAUUACGUCCCUGCCCUUUGUACACACCGCCCGUCGCACCUACCGAUUGAAUGGUUCGGUGAAGAUCUCGGACUUCGAUAUUUAUUCUUUAUUGAGUUUAUAUUGUGGGAAGUUAUCUAAACCUCAUCAUUUAGAGGAAGGUGAAGUCGUAACA
rnacentral:rRNA from 1 species